GGAUGAAAAAAAUCGUAUAAAAUGAGAGAAAAAAGGUGAAGGAAAAUCAGUCGAGUGAGGAUCUCCGACACGUCAACAACUCACAACUGUAGCGCACUAUUUGUCACCGGGAUUCUUCAUUGUGUAAUUAGUUCAUGAUUUAAAAGGAGAGAAAAGGCGAUAGAAAUCAGUCGAGUGAGCAUCUCCGAUACGACAACAACUGCAGCGCACUAGUUGUCACCAACUGCAUUCCUCAUCGGGUAAUCAAUUCACAAUCAUGGGUAACUAUAACUACAACAUCGUCGUGCUGCUGUUGGGUGUGUAUCGUUGAUGGCAUCGACCACGUGUGAACCGAUGUCUCCUGGGUGUGGUGGACAUGUUGGCCCCGAGUUACAUCACCAAAGCGCCUAAUUACUGGGGCCUAAGUACUACACCACCAAAGUUCCAGAGUAUUAAACUAAAACCUACGCUGUUCCAGCUUACUAUACUGAUGCUCCCAAGUACUAUUCUGCUCCCUGGUAGUUGGUACUAAACCGAGUCUCCAGCUUAUUACACCACAAAGCGGUCGAAUACUACACCGAAGCGCCCAGUUACAUCGUUUUCUGCCCCAGAUUUCAUCAGCGAGGCACCGGAGUACUACACCAGCGAGGCACCGGAUUACUACACCAGCGAGGCACCGGAGUACUACACCAGCGAGGCACCGGAGUACUACACGAAUACGAAUGCUGUUCCAGGUUACUACACCGGUAAAGCGGUCGAAUACUGCAUCGAACCGCCCA